UACGGAGGGGGCGAGCGUUGUUCGGAGUUACUGGGCGUAAAGCGCGCGCAGGUGGUUCCUUAAGUCUGAUGUGAAAGCCCCCGGCUCAACCGGGGAGGGUCAUUGGAAACUGGGGAACUUGAGUGCAGAAGAGGAUAGUGGAAUUCCAAGUGUAGCGGUGAAAUGCGUAGAGAUUUGGAGGAACACCAGUGGCGAAGGCGACUGUCUGGUCUGUAACUGACACUGAGGCGCGAAAGCGUGGGGAGCAAACAGG
rnacentral:rRNA from 1 species